rnacentral:rRNA from 1 species
AGAGUUUGAUCCUGGCUCAGGAUGAACGCUGGCGGUAUGCCUUACACAUGCAAGUCGAACGGAAAUUAGCUUCGGUUAAUUUUAGUGGCGGACGGGUGAGUAACACGUGAGAAUUUGCCUUUAGGAGGGGGAUAACGAGUGGAAACAUUCGCUAAAACCCCAUAUGCCCACGGGUGAAAAAGAGGAAACUCUGCCUGAAGAGAAGCUCGCGGCUGAUUAGCUAGUUGGUAGGGUAAUGGCCUACCAAGGCGACGAUCAGUAGCUGGUCUGAGAGGACGAUCAGCCACACUGGAACUGAGACACGGUCCAGACUCCUACGGGAGGCAGCAGUGAGGAAUUUUCUGCAAUGGGCGAAAGCCUGACAGAGCAAUACCGCGUGAGGGAUGAAGACUUACUGAGUUGUAAACCUCGGUGCCUUAAGGAAGAAGAUCUGACGGUACUUAAGGUGGAAAGCAUCGGCUAACUCCGUGCCAGCAGCCGCGGUAAGACGGGGGAUGCAAGUGUUAUCCGGAAUCACUGGGCGUAAAGCGUCUGCAGGUGGUUUCCUAAGUCCACUGUUAAACCUUGAGGCUCAACCUCAAAUCUGCAUUGGAAACUAGGAGACUUGAGUAUAGUAGGGGCAGAGGGAAUCUCCAGUGGAGCGGUGAAAUGCGUAGAUAUUGGAAAGAACACCGAUGGCGAAGGCACUCUACUGGGCUAUUACUGACACUCAGAGACGAAAGCUAGGGGAGCGAAUGGGGAUUAGAUACCCCAGUAGUCCUA